rnacentral:rRNA from 1 species
UACGGAGGGUGCAAGCGUUAUUCGGAAUGACUGGGCGUAAAGAGCGCGUAGGCGGUUUGUUAAGUCUAGUGUGAAAUCCCUGAACUUAAUUCAGGAAGUGCAUUGGAUACUGGCGAGCUAGAGUGUAGGAGAGGAUAGCGGAAUUCCUGGUGUAGAGGUAAAAUUCGUAGAUAUCAGGAGGAACCACAGAGGCGAAGGCGGCUAUCUGGACUACAACUGACGCUGAGGCGCGAAAGCGUGGGGAGCAAACAGG